rnacentral:tRNA from 1 species
GGGCCGGUAGCUCAGCCUGGUUAGAGCGCUUGUCUGAUAAGCAAGAGGUCGAGAGUUCAAAUCUCUCCCGGCCCA